rnacentral:rRNA from 1 species
UACGAAGGGGGCUAGCGUUGUUCGGAAUCACUGGGCGUAAAGCGCACGUAGGCGGAUCUUUAAGUCAGGGGUGAAAUCCCGAGGCUCAACCUCGGAACUGCCUUUGAUACUGGGGAUCUCGAGUCCGGGAGAGGUGAGUGGAACUGCGAGUGUAGAGGUGAAAUUCGUAGAUAUUGGGAAGAACACCAGUGGCGAAGGCGGCUAACUGGUCCAGCACUGACGCUGAGGUGCGAAAGCGUGGGGAGCAAACAGG